AACACUGUGAACUACAGAUCUAGGUUUAUUAAUUAUUUAAAAUGUUUUCAUUUGAAUGACCAAUUUAAAGGAUUUUCUUAAAGACAAAGAAUAAAAAACUAUUGUUUUUCCCCAUUGAAUUCAAGAUUAAAUUUAGAUGUAGAGCUAGACAUUCUAGAAUCUAGAUCUAGAUUGAAUCUUGAAUAUACGAUAAUCUAGUUCAUUUGUAACAAGAGAAACAGAAAGUUGUAAUUUUAUAAC